AUUACUCCUACGGGAGGCAGCAGUGGGGAAUUUUGGACAAUGGGCGCAAGCCUGAUCCAGCCAUGCCGCGUGUGUGAAGAAGGCCUUUUGGUUGUAAAGCACUUUAAGCGAGGAGGAGGCUACUUAGAUUAAUACUCUAGGAUAGUGGACGUUACUCGCAGAAUAAGCACCGGCUAACUCUGUGCCAGCAGCCGCGGUAAUAAUC
rnacentral:rRNA from 1 species